rnacentral:lncRNA from 1 species
CAUAACAAAAAGAAUCAUCAUCAGGUAUUUAAUAUAAGCUCUUAUAUCUUCAAUAUUGAUUAAUUUCAUCUUUUGCAGGUAACACAUUUUAGUACCAGUUUUUCUACACUAGAUGGGCAUUUGGACAAUAAAUGUGUCCUUGGUGAUGCUUGAGGCCUACAUAGUUCACAGUCCAAAGCUUAAGAAGGGAUGUCUGAAUAAGCUGUAGAUAUAUAUUGAUCGUAACUGCAUUACACAUUCUAGUGGUUGGGUUGUCGAGUCUACUGCCGAAGUGUGCCAUGCACCUUUUCGUAAAAUGUGUCUGUUUACAAAUAGCUUUAAAACUUUAAGUUAUUAGUUACUCAUAUUAUCAUUUAAUGUUAUAAGCAUCUAGUAUCGGUGCUGAAAGAUGUGUUUU